rnacentral:tRNA from 1 species
GUCAGAAUGGUCGAGUGGUCUAAGGCGCCAGACUUAAGCUUUGGUCCACGUAUGUGGACGUGGGUUCGAAUCCCACUUCUGACA